UGUGGUAAUGAUGGCAAGAAGGACACACCUGUUCCCAUCUCGAACACAGAAGUUAAGCUUCUUAGCGCCGAAUGUAGUUGGGGGUU
rnacentral:rRNA from 1 species